rnacentral:rRNA from 1 species
GACGAACGCUGGCGGCGUGCUUAACACAUGCAAGUCGAACGGAAAGGCCCUGCUUUUGUGGGGUGCUCGAUUGGCGAAUGGGUGAGUAACACGUGAGUAACCUGCCCUUGACUUUGGGAUAACUUCAGGAAACUGGGGCUAAUACCGGAUAGGAGCUCCUGCUGCAUGGUGGGGGUUGGAAAGUUUCGGCGGUUGGGGAUGGACUCGCGGCUUAUCAGCUUGUUGGUGGGGUAGUGGCUUACCAAGGCUUUGACGGGUAGCCGGCCUGAGAGGGUGACCGGCCACAUUGGGACUGAGAUACGGCCCAGACUCCUACGGGAGGCAGCAGUGGGGAAUAUUGCACAAUGGGCGGAAGCCUGAUGCAGCAACGCCGCGUGCGGGAUGACGGCCUUCGGGUUGUAAACCGCUUUCGCCUGUGACGAAGCGUGAGUGACGGUAAUGGGUAAAGAAGCACCGGCUAACUACGUG